GUCCAACUAUAUGGUCGUGGCCAACAAGCCCGCGGUGCAGGGAAGCCGGUGUGAAUCCGGCACGGUCCCGCCACUGUGACCGGGGAGCGCGUUUUCACCGGCGAGGGGCCGUCCACGGAAGGGCGGCCGUCGACAGGAGGAACGUCACUGACGGAGCGGCGACGCGACGUCGGGAAGGCGGAAGGCGCGUGGUGAUCCGGGAGUCAGGAUACCGGCCGCGCGGUGGUUCCGUGU
rnacentral:ncRNA from 2 species